GGUCUAUAUUAUAUCUAAUCUAGACUUGAGACCUAUUAAAUCUAGAUCUAGACGACUUAGACUUAACUUAAGUGAUUAACAUUCAUGCGUUAUGACUAGAUUUACUGAUUUACUAUUUAGAAUAGAUUCUAGAUCUAGUCAAUCUAGAUUCUAGAAUCUGCCAUGAAAUGGCUAAUGCAUCUGCAGCAUAGAAUUAGAUUUAGUUAAGGACUUACUAGAUCUUAAAUCUAAAUCUACUACCUUUUAACUUUUAGGGCAGAAUAUUAGAUCUAGUCUAUAUGCCUAUCUAGUCACGUAACUGUAAACUGUAAACUAAUACUUAGACUUAGGACUUUGGACACUUUGAGUUGCAGAUAUCUACUUGGUAGUCUAAACCUCAAAGGAGCUUAGGGAAGUGAUGGCAGUUGCAGGGUAUGAACCAGACGACCAUGCAGAGACCAACGAGGCGACCAAACAGUCCAUCGUGCAUACCACAUAACCAGGUCCAGAAUGCCAGUUUUCUUUAAGGGCAGCUGACAAUAAGAAUUGUCUAUGUAUGCACUACAGAUGCUGUUCAAUAUCUUUUCAUGAGGAAGCCUGCUAAAAAAGAUCGCCACAUUUUCUUUAGGGGAAGUUGACAUUAAUCUUUUAGGUUAAUAAUAACCUAUGCAUGCAGUACAGAUGCUGUUGAUCUUUUCUUAAAAGCAAGCCUGCUCAAGAAGCUGCUGCAUGGAAGUCAAAAUAUGAAUUAUUGCCACCAGUCUUGAAGUCAGCUUGUAAAGAAUGCUAAGAAUUGAAUGAAAAUGCUGUCUUGAUAUCUUGUUUGUGCUGUUAUAUUUGUCUUUUGUGUUGGUUAAUUAUUCCAUGAAUAAAAAAAAAAAAAAAGUUAAUUGUGUAAGUUUGAUUUAAGAAUAAAUGAUCAGAGCAUGCAAGUCUUAUAUAGUACAUUACCAAAAAUUGUAUUGUUUGAUAGUGUUCAAACCCAAAAAUGUAAUUUAACUUGUCCAUUACUUUAUAAAUAUGUUGACAUUAUAGCUAGAUGUAUAUAGAAAUCAUGCACUGAUUCAAUUAUUAUAAUUUCCAAACAAUUAUGUCAAAUAAUUCUAUUGCUAGAUCUAAAUCAUCAGUGUGAAAGUAGACCUAUGUAAAAAGUUAAAAAUCUCAUACUAAACCAUUGAGCUGCAUUUGAACAAAAAGGGCAUUAUAAACAAAAAAUCACUAAUGAAUUUGUUUUAAACUACAGUAUUGAAAAACAUUAAAGAUUAUUCCUAAUUAAGCCAUAAUAAAAUUUAAUGACUGAACCAUCGGAGACAGUAUUUGCAUGAUAAUACCUAAUUGAGCCCUAAUAAAUAUUUCAGUUACUAAACCAUUAGGGCCAGCAUUGGACCGAUAAUGGCACAAUAAGGGUUAUCCCUAAAUG